rnacentral:rRNA from 1 species
UAUGGUUGUGUGCCAGCCGCCGCGGUAAAACGUAGGGUGCAAGCGUUGUCCGGAAUUACUGGGUGUAAAGGGAGCGCAGGCGGACCGGCAAGUUGGAAGUGAAAACUAUGGGCUCAACCCAUAAAUUGCUUUCAAAACUGCUGGCCUUGAGUAGUGCAGAGGUAGGUGGAAUUCCCGGUGUAGCGGUGGAAUGCGUAGAUAUCGGGAGGAACACCAGUGGCGAAGGCGACCUACUGGGCACCAACUGACGCUGAGGCUCGAAAGCAUGGGUAGCAAACAGG